rnacentral:rRNA from 1 species
UACGGGGGGAGCAAGCGUUGUUCGGAUUUACUGGGCGUAAAGGGCGCGUAGGCGGCCACCGCAAGUCGACUGUGAAAUCUCCGGGCUUAACCCGGAAAGGUCAGCCGAUACUGCGGGGCUAGAGUGCAGAAGGGGCAAUUGGAAUUCUCGGUGUAGCGGUGAAAUGCGUAGAUAUCGAGAGGAACACCUGCGGCGAAGGCGGGUUGCUGGGCUGACACUGACGCUGAGACGCGAAAGCGUGGGGAGCGAACAGG